UUUUUUAAUUACAAUUUCAACAAUUGAAGUUGGAAUUUUAGCAACUGAAGUUGGAAUUUUAAUUGCAUAACAACUUACAUAAACUAGUGUAGUUGGUAUGUUGAAGCAUGUGUUGCAAAGUCUGAUAUUCAUCAUUGAUUGUUUCGUUCUUUUCAGCUACCGCAGUCACACCUGUCACUGCCAUUUUCUUUAUAACAAUUAACACCGUCUCCAUGACUGUCUAAUUUUCCAAUGACAGUACAAUUGGAGAUAGUAGCAUUGGAGGCGGUGGUGAUCGUUAUAGAGAUAAUGGUGGUGGUUGGUAAAUCGCAUGAUAGCAACAUUGACAAGAAUACGUAUGAAUUCCCACAUCAUUACACAUUGAGUUCGUGUUGGUGCUUCAUGAUUUGCCUCUCGUAUGAUGACUCCUUGAAACAAAUGCAAAAAAUAUCAACUACAAUACAUAAAUUUAAAGAGCUAUGAUCCUUGUGACAAAACGAAGUGUAUCAAAGUGUACUUUUGUACUUUUGUACGAUAAAAUAUAUUUCUAAUGUAAAAUGGAAACUUUCAACAGUAAAAAAAACAUUUCAAAGAAAAAAGUGGUACAAUCGAUAAUAAAUUUUGAAAAAAAUGUAGUUAUUGUAUCAAAAAUCUUACAUCAAAGUUGUACCCAAAGUGCAUCUACAUAUUUUGGUAUAGAUCGGAUGCAAGUUCAU
rnacentral:lncRNA from 1 species